CUUGCACUCAGUCUUUAUGCGAUGAACUAAAGUAUUUAUCAGUAAAACACUUUUACCAUCCGGUUGGCGCGACGUUUUGCGCCCUCCUUCGGUUCGGUGCAGAGCUCCACAGCAGACCUAACGGCAGCAUGUCAGUCCUGUCUUCCAUCUGAGCGCAGCUGCCAGGAGAACUGCCGCCUCAGGACAAUGACCAGCCACCCAGCAAAGCAGCAGUAACCAGGAGUGACAGCCACUAGAGAGCAAGAGAGGCACAGACAUCAGAUGGUAAAGGUUGGGUCCUGACCGUCUGAAGAAAAAAAACAAAACAAGGAAAGGUCAGCAGACAUGUUAGGAGAUGCCAAGAGACUCACGGACUGGCUUUAAGUGGUUACCUCCCGCAGGCCAUUCGGUCACAGCAUGAAGAGAGCAGGGGCGAUGGCAAAUGACACAACGCUUUAUACCUUCCCUAAUCUCUUUGUCUGCUCAAAGAAAGACCUGAAAGACAAAGAAGAAUCAUACUCAAAGAGUUAAAGAGCACUGCUUCC